GUGCUGGCUUUGGCAGCACAUAUGCUAAAACUGGAACAACACAGAAAAGAUUAGCAUGGCCCCGGUGCAAGGACGACAGGCAAAUUCAUGAAGUGUGUCAUUAAAAA